UUUCAGGCAAUUGAAUCAAAAAUACACUGUUGCUUAGAUGACUAAGCAGGGCAAUCAUGCAUCUGCAAACCAUAUCAGCUAAAACUUAAAGUAUGUCUAAUAAUCUCUCUGGUUUACUUAAAAAAAAAUCAUGGACUGUUUCACAGCUAAAAGCUCAUUUAGUCAUUAUUCAAAUGUUUGUCUAUUACAUUCCCACGGAGGCAGGACGGAGUCUUCUUCCUCCUCCGACACGUCGUUAGGAAAUGCCUCUGCUUUCCGUCCUGCUCUAGGGCAGGCAGUAAGCUUUAGCUGAGAACACAUUUGGAGAUGUGUGAACGAGUGAACCAAGUGUAUCCUGGAAGCACCAGCCCAUGCCUGCUCCUGCAGAGCCUGUGAAAGCCCAGCAAACUUUUUGGGGACUGACGCAGAGGACCAGAGCUAUCACCAGCUGGAUUUGGGGCUUUGGUGGCAUAGAUGCAAGGGAGAUAAAUGACUCUUAUUUUGUUCUUAGGAGCUGUUUCCUUCACAGAAACUUCUGACAAAACUGAUAGAUUUAGACACUCAGUUGUCCUGCCUGAACUGUUCUAUUGUUCUUGCUGGCUUCCAAUCCUGAAAUGCAAGACCAUAGUUUUCACAACACUGAAGGAAUUAAACUCGGGAAGUCAGCUCGUGAUGGUCCAGGGACUAAGAGAAAAAGAAUGUGAAGAUCAGCAGUCCAACGGCCAACGCUAAAAAUGCUCUGGACUUAGGAAGUGCCGCCUGUCUCAGUGUGACCCAGGACCCGAGGGGCCCACGGCAGGAGCACCUCUUUCUUACUCCCCAGUCUUCACCUCGAGGGCCAAGCCGGCCCCUGGA
rnacentral:lncRNA from 1 species